UACGUAGGGUGCGAGCGUUGUCCGGAAUUAUUGGGCGUAAAGGGCUCGUAGGCGGUUUGUCGCGUCGGGAGUGAAAACUCAGGGCUUAACCCUGAGCCUGCUUCCGAUACGGGCAGACUAGAGGUAUGCAGGGGAGAACGGAAUUCCUGGUGGUAGCGGUGAAAUGCGCAGAUAUCAGGAGGAACACCGGUGGCGAAGGCGGUUCUCUGGGCAUUACCUGACGCUGAGGAGCGAAAGUGUGGGGAGCGAACAGG
rnacentral:rRNA from 1 species